rnacentral:lncRNA from 1 species
UCGUUAUCGACUUCUGCCAUUGUUGAGCUCACAAGCAAUUACUGAAACGAGUGAUUAAUCUCAAGCGGUAGGCUCUAAUACCAUGUCAAAUUGUUACACUACAGUAAUAUAAAGUAUUUAGAAGAGAGCUUGAAUUGAAGGAGAGGAAAACUUGGAGAGAAAGAUUACUUCAUUCUCAUUUUCUUCAACUACAACAAAUGAGUUGCAUCACUGAUAUAUAUACAAGUUAGAGUUCUAUAUCACCAACUAACUCUAACUUUAAUACUAGCUCUAGUAAAAUUACUAACUCACUUGCUAAUCACCUAUCUAACUAACUCACUAACCGACUAAUGCCACAUCAUCACAUCAGCUUGCUACACUCUUAACAAUUACAUCAUGAAAAUAUCCUUGUCUUCUAAACGAGAAGUAACAGAAAAAAGAAUAACUAUAGAAAAAGGAAUUUUAACACAUAAUAUACCGAAGUAUCCUUAAAUUUUUGUGAUGUUUAACGGGUCAUUCUUCAUAUUAAAGCAUAUUACUAAAAAUAAAAUAUUUAAAACUAAAAUAUUUCAACAAUUCCAAAUUCCAAAUUUAAAAUAUGAUAGAAAUUUCCUUCAAUAAAGUUGUUGGAGUGCUAAUUUUUGGAGUCAAAACAUGUGAACAAAAGAACAUUUUUAAUUUUCAUGAUGACAAGAGAAUCCUUUCCAAGAAAAUAAACAAUCCACACACACCUACCGCCUUUGUUUUUAAAUAUUCUUCAUUUAACUUUACUAUUAUUAUAUAGAUUGGAAAAGCAUACCAAUUACUACAUCUCAGUCCCCUCAGCAGAGAAUCUCUCACUCUGCGAAAAAUGGCGGAGAAGAAGCGAUUGGUAACUGUUGCUGCUCUGCAGUUUGCCUGUACCGACGAUGUCGCUACCAACGUCGGCACUGCCGAGAGGUAUUUGUUGCUCUUUCUUUCAUAGCCCCUUUUGCAUAUAUGUAUUAAUUACUUAUAUGGCCAGUUUUGGUUAUCUUUUUCAAGUUCAGUAGAAAUACAAUUAGGAUUUCUAAAAAGUUGAAGACUUUUGUUGUGUCCUCAUAUGUCAAUCACAAUUAGAAUGUUUUUGUAAUCUAAGAGGUUAAUUUUGUAGCUCACUGGUAAGGGAAUUGGGAUUUGGUAUCAUUGAGCAAAUAUGUGUUCUUUAGAUUUGCAAAAGGGGAAUUAUUUUGAUGACAUUUAGGGGUCGUUUGGUUUAUAAACCAGUGGUGCAGGAAUUGUAAUGCUGAGAUUAUUUUGAAAAUCGGGCCUUUGGUUAUUUGUACUAAAAAUGGGAGUUAUACAGGGCGUUAAUGAUGGGUUUGAGGAAAAGACAUUAGGCUAAUUUUGUUUUUUAGUGUUUAAUCCUUAUAUUGUUAUACCAUGCUAUAGGCGGGUAAUAAUACACCAAUUGCUGUAGUAAAGUAUACUAAGAUUAGUUACGCAAGAUUCAAAAUACAACCAAACACCGGAUAAAGCAGUACCAAAUUUUAUACCAUGAUUUCAUCUUAUACAUCAAAACCAAACAGGUCCUUACAUAUUGUGGCUCUAAGAUUAUGGCUUUGAUACAGAUUGGUUAGAGCUGCUCAUCAGAAGGGUGCAAAUAUCAUCCUCAUACAGGUACAAGACUGCCCCAUUGUUGGAAUAUUUGGUUAUUACACGAGAACCCAUGUGUGAACAUGUUGUCAGCUUUUUUAUCCAUUGUUUCUUGUUCAAGUGCUGGAACUUUAUUCCCGAGCUGUUUGUUUUCCCUCGAAUUGUGUUAUUGCUUCCUUUACGUGGUAGUUUACACUGAGAUUGUUGAAAGUUAUAUUUAAAGGUUUGGUGGUCCUUAAUAGGUUAGAGAUGAGACCUUUGGCCUGUCUUAGGGCAUAGCUUAAUGGAAUGCUAGUCUGGUCAUACCUGUCAACAGCAUGUUAACUGAUACUAGGAGUUGCUUGGCCAGUUCUUAUGAGAGUUCCUGAUCGAAUGGUCCCUUAAGUUUGGGAGAAGAUUUAUUUCCAUAAAUAUAAUACAACUCUGAGCAUAUUUGAGAACUUUCGGUCUCCGUUAACAAACUCUGUAAAUGUGAUGGAAUGGUUGUUGUGCUUUGUUAUUUUAAACUAGAAGCAUCUUUCUUUAAUGUCUUGUUAAUUCUGCAAUUCAACAGUGGAUGCAGAAUUACAUGUACAAUCGAGAUAGUCAAUAUCAUUUCUAAGUCACAACUAGCCAAAUAGUAAAGUAUUUCAAAACAUUCUGCUCGUAAAGGUUAUAACCAGUCCAAUAAAAACAGCACCUAAAUAACCUUGGCUGCAGGACAGCUGUCUUUUUCCAGUAUAUUGAAACCAUUAUAAAAAUAACUAUACAUGAAAACAUUAAGAGAGUGAGAGAAAGAGAGAUAAGAGGAUAAAGAACAAUCUAUUGAAUAUCAGACCGUUAUACUAAUAUAAUAGGCAAGUGUUCAAAAAUUUAAGCGAAAAUAAGUAUGUGUCGUGAAUACUUAGCAUAAAGCAUGUGCUUGCACCAAAACCAGAUGAAGAAUCUUCACAUAAUAAAUAAGCUGAGGUAAGGGGCACGGAAAGGAAGAACCUGAUAAGUGAGUCAAUAGGGAUUACUAGAAAUCAAUAUGCAUGAUAUUCAGAAUUGAAGUUUCACUGAUCGAUUAAAGUAGUAUGAUGAUUCUCCUUACUCUUCCUGUAUUUUAUCCUCUUUCGGGCGUCCUUUCAACCAUUCUUUUCUCUGUGUAUAUAUAUUUCUUAUGCGUGUGUAAAAAUUCUGUCUCUUUCUCCGCUUGAUUUUUGUUUCAGUUGCUUAGUAUAACCAGUUCCUUCGCCUGCACCCAUUCUUUUAAGCAUUUAGAGCUUUAUUCAGUAAUAGUUCUGAAAAUUUCCUGAUAACUCCUAGAUCCCUCCUGACCUCUUUCAUAACUCCUGUGCUUCUUGGUCCAUACAUUGCAAGUGUGGAAACUUAACUUGAAUGCAGAGAGAGCAAGCACCAUUUAAUGGCCAGUAAGGAUGGAAAACAAUAGCGGGUCUUUAACAGAGUGCUGGGUCAUUUCAUACGACAAUUUUGUUCUGUUGUUACUGGCUCUUUUUCGUAGACAGGUGUGAGAAUGAGGGAUAAUUGCUGAAGCAGGGAGGUGGUUAUAGAAGGAACCAUGAGCAGCGUCGGACCAUUUUGUCACAUUUAAUGGAGCUUGUUAUCUGAUAGCAGAAGCACUCAGUUUUUUUAAAUUUAAGUAAGCGACCAACAAUUGCUAUCAAAGCAAGAAGUAUAGACUAUAGACUUGUAGGACAUGUCUCACAGCUACUAAACUUAAGGGGUUAGAUAUGCUCACGAUCAUAAUAUAAGGACAAAGAUAAACGUACCCCCAAACUUGUAGGACCAUUUGAGUUAAACUCGUCUUUGUAGUUUCCUCUUGUCUACUUUCUUGCUCAUGCUAAUGCGUAACAAAGUAGUUCAAAAAAUCUGUGCCACUUCUGUUCCAGAUUGGAGGCAUAUUCUGGAGACUUGGCUGGUACUUGGCUUGGUUUCAACUUGCUUCAAACAGCCUUGAAAUAGAAAUGUUCAUUUGGUUUAGCUGUUAGAUUCAAGAGAACAUGAUUGGGAAGUUAGCUAAAAUUAGAGCUGUUAAUAUGGGCGGGCCCGGCCCCGCCCACGUGGGCUUUAGCAAUUGACGGGCUGGGCUGAGCUAGUCCACCAUUUUGAUGGGCCUUAUAAUGGUCAGUGUGGCCGGCCCAUCAUUUUUAAAAAAUAUAGUUUUAUAUUUUUUCUUUAAGUUCUAACCUAAAAAAGAUAAAAUUUUAAAAGUUAACAAUCUUAUUGGAAAAAUUUCACAAAACUUAAUAACUUUUUAUACUGUUCCAAUAUAUCACAAUAAGCACUAAAAAAAGUACAAGACAAGACUAUAUUUCAUUCACUAAAAGUCAAAACUCAAAACAAACUAUUCAAGUGACCGUCCAUGACGCUUAUGGGAUAUCCAACACAUCAUCUUCAUCAAACACAUUUGAAUCUGCUUGUGAGAAGGUUGUCUUAACAUCUUCACUUUCAUUUACAUCUACAAUUCAUAUGCAAUAUUAAUUAGUUAAAUAUUAAGAAUAAUUAAAUUUUAAAAACUAAUUAACGUUUUAAGACGUUGAUCUUUUAAUACGAUGAGCUUAAUAAAUUUUAAGCUUGGGAUACUCUUCUUGUUAUUUUUAGUGUCAUAUACUUUUUAUAUUUAGUAUAUUUUAAAAACAUAUAUUUAUUAAGCCCACGGGCCGGCCCAGCCCAGCCCCAGUCAAGCCUCACAGGCCAUGAGCUUACUCGGGCUGGACUUAAAAGCCUCGUUUUUAAAUGGGCUCCAAAAAUUCUAGCCCAACCCUACUAAAUCACGGGCUGGGCUGGCCCAACGGUCCAAGCCUAUAUUGACGGCUCUAGCUAAAAUGAACGGAGAAGAAUAUUAAAACUGGUUAUAUAACAUAUUCGAGUCGGAGACAAUUGCAAAUAUUCCAGUAUCUUACAACAAUAACAAACCUAGUGUAAUCCCACAAGUGGGGUCUGGGGAGGAUAGUGUGUACGCAGACCUUAUCCCUAUAUUGUGGAGGUAGAGAGGCUGUUUCUGAUCGACCCUCGGCUCAGGAAAAGCAUAGUCACAGCAUAGUUGAAAAGUAUUCCAGUAUCCUCCGUUAAGUAAUUAGAUCUUACCAAAGUUUUGUCAAUAAUCUUCCCCAUUUAAGUUGGCCCAAGACUGUUCACUUCCAAAAUCUCAUCAUUACACAUCAAUGAGUGUUCGGAGUUAAACAAGAGUAGUAAAAAUGUAAAAUAUUAAAGUUUAACGGGGUUUUAAGAUAAAUAUAAGAGAAGCUGUGCCUGAAUCCUGAACAACUGUCCCCCCCCUCCCCACAAACACCCCGUACGGGUUUUAUUUUGGGGGGGGGGGGGGAGGGCAGUAUGAGCAGGCCUUGAGAAAAAAAAGAUUCGGUUUGGCCUGAGUGUGUCAGAAAGGUUCAGAUUUGGCUAAAACAUAUGAACUUAAGUGAACUGACUGAAAUUGAUGCCAGUUGAAGCUAUUGAAGUGAAUCAAACUUAUGCAGUGUUGGUUACUGUAAUUUCAGCAUAGUGUACUGUUUUUUCUUGAAUCUUUAGAGGGGGAGUCUAACUCUUCCAGUUAUAUAUUAUCAUUAUACUUUAGUAUAAGUAUCCUUGGGAGUGCGGCUAACAAAAAGAACAGGAUUUAUAGCCAAGGUGUUUACAAUGUUAUAUAGGUGUUGGUAACUAAUAAGUAAUAACUAUAGAAUGAGGUAAAAAGUUGUAUAUGAUUGUUUAAGUGUUAAUGAUUACCGUCCUAAGGAGUUGUCAGAUCAAUUUGAAUUGACCUAUCACUUUGACAAGUAAUCUUGUUUAGCUCAGCAUUUAGCAGUUGUGCUUAUUCUUGACACAAGUGAUUAAGCUAGACAGUCGAAUUGUAACUUCAUCUCAUGUAUUUUAUACAUACCAUGACUCAGAUUUUUGUUGAUCUUCAAAAAUUGCCAGUGUCCUUAAUACAUCAACAUUAAAAGAGAAUUGUUUUCUCUCAGUUUCGAGUUUCUAAUGAUAUUUUUAUAGAGUUAGGGUGAUACUCUUGAAGUUUGUAGUCCUAUGAACUUCGACUUUUUGAAAGUAUUUGGUAUUCAUCUGCAUGUCUGCAGUCCAGUAUUCAUUGAUACUUCCCUAUUUACAUCUCAGGAGUUGUUCGAGGGCUAUUACUUUUGUCAAGCUCAAAGGGAGGACUUCUUCCAUCGAGCAAAACCAUAUCAGGGGCAUCCAACCAUUGUGAGGUGAAAAUUCUGAUUACUUCUGGUGUCUUAUUGCUGGUUUCGUUAGCAUAUGUGUCAAGGUUCCAAUAACAACCUGGCUUGUUCUUUCUAUGUGCAUGUUUGUAGGAUGCAGAAGCUUGCGAAGGAGCUGGGAGUGGUUAUACCAGUUAGUUUCUUUGAAGAAGCAAAUAAUGCGCAUUACAAUUCUGUGGCUAUUAUUGAUGCUGAUGGCACAGAUCUUGGACUUUACAGGAAGUCCCAUAUUCCCGAUGGACCUGGUUAGUAAAACUUGGAAGAACAUUCCAAAAUCAUUGUGCUACUUGUCAUUAUUCUGUUAGAUUUCCUUCAAUCACUUUCUUCAAUACUCCUUUUUCAUCCCCUUAAGUUGUUUGUCUCUACAGGUUAUCAGGAAAAGUUUUACUUCAAUCCUGGUGACACUGGUUUUAAGGUAAGGAAUACUGAAGUCCUGUUACGAUAUUGCGAUAGUGAUAUUUUCCUGCUUUCCCCUUUGCUCAUGGACGUAAUGGUGUUCAUAAACAGGUGUUCCAGACUAAAUAUGCAAAAAUCGGAGUUGGUAAGAGAAUAUAUGUUGUCAUGGUUGUUCUUUAGGUUUCAUUGUGUUCUCUACCUUUGAUGAACAUUUGGAUACAUAGGAGAAAAAUAAAAGUUGUGCUGCUGUGGGCAAAAACCUUAAAUCUCCAAAAGUUACUUACAUACACUUCACUUUGUAAUUUUAAGAUUUUAUUAAAGAGGACAAAGAUACUCUUGUUGUAAAUACAGUGAAGACUGAAGAUACACUACCGAUAGUAUUGACUGUUAUUAAAUUCUGUCCAGCAAUUUGCUGGGAUCAGUGGUUUCCUGAGGCAGCUCGAGCUAUGGCACUUCAAGGUGCAGAAGUACUGUUCUAUCCUACUGCAAUUGGUUCUGAACCUCAAGAUGAUGGACUUGAUUCUCGUGAUCACUGGAGGAGGGUGAUGCAAGGACAUGCUGGAGCUAAUGUGGUACGUUUUAUUUUUCAUUUUUAACUUUUUUUUCGUUAAGAAUGAUAAGUAAAAGGGAUGUUUAUGUUGGCAUGAUCAGGAUAGCCUAGUUGCAAGGAUCCUCCACCUUCAAUCAUAAGAUUUUGGGGGUUUGAGUCACCAAGGGAGCAAAAGUGGGAAAAGGGUCACUAUUCGACUCCUGGGCAAUGGGUUAGGAUGGUGGGGUUUUAGCAUAACCUAAAAAAAAACAAGGAAAGUUGUGUCCCAAGCUAGAAUUUGGUCCAGCUAAAAUGUUAAUUAUGCAUCUUGAUCCUAGUUUAUUAAUUUUAUUAUACACCGAGCUGCUUUAGCUUAUUCUUUUCUUUUAAUCAUUCUUUUGCUCGGCUGAGCAACAUACCUGUGUUACAAUUGGGUAAAAAUGUCUGUAAGGGACAAGAAUUGAAGAGAUGUACAACAAAAAGUUUAUGCAAGAAAAAGGAAACACGGAGUCAUGCCCCUCUUAUAUAUUUGCUGGACAGAUUGGAAUAGCCAUCAAAAGUGCUUUUCCUCUCUUAACCAACCCCUUCUAUCGUAGCUCCUAUUUGAGCUUAAAACUGGACUAUUUCAGUAGUUCCCUGUGUGUUUUCUUGGUGUGGGUUUCUUCCUCAACUCUAGAGCUGACAUUAUAUGUACCUCAAUCUGGAUUCAUAUUCUAUUUGAUCUUACAAGAUACACACACACACACACACACACUCUGCUAAUCAAUUCUUCACGACAAGCAUAGCAUUUACUGUACGCUAUGUAUGCCAUUUUCCUAUGCAUUCUCUGUGUAGAAAAGGAAACUAACAAUUAUUUGCAACUUUUAGCAAAAGAAGAAUUUUGAUUUCUGUGGUUUUAAUACACCAAAAUAAAACCAAACUCGAAUUGUUGGUUCUCAACUCAUUUUACAAGACCAAAGCCAAGAAAAUGACUUUUAAAUUGUUGGUUUGGUUUGAAUCAAUUUGGUUCAGUCUUUUUUCUAGAAACACUUUGUCCACUUUAAUUUUUAUCGUGUUCAGGUACCUUUAGUAGCUUCAAACCGCAUUGGAAAGGAGACAAUUGAGACAGAGCAUGGGAAAAGCACGAUAACAUUCUACGGCUACUCUUUCAUUGCAGGUAAGCUAUUUGACAAAACUUUGUAGCUACAGAACUUGAAAAACAUCUAUCGCCUUAUGUUGCUAAGGGGCUCUGAAUCUGGUUUAAAAAUGAACAGGGCCCACUGGGGAGUUGGUAGCAGCUGCUGAUGAUAAAGAGGAAGCUGUUCUUAUAGCGCAGUUCGAUCUGGACAAAAUCAAGUCCAAAAGGCAGAGUUGGGGGGUAUUUCGUGAUCGACGCCCUGAUUUAUAUAAGGUUCUUUUGACAUUAGAUGGAAGCAACCCAGUCAAGUGAUUCAAGAUGGACCAAGUAUCGCCUAUUCUCCUGCCCUUUUUUUUGUCAAUCUUAUCAAUAAAAGAGUGAGGACUAAAAUAUAAUCUUGUACUCGAGUUCUGUUGUCAUGUAACUCGUUAUAUGGUGUGAUCUGUCACAUGCUACACUUUCUGCAAUGAAUGGCAGAGUUCGGGAGUUUGAAUCCCUUAAUGUGUAAUCAGUAGCAUCUAUGUGCAACUUUGAUGGUUUUUGUCACAUCCAAGUAGUGAACACAUUCAUCAUUGGGACCUUGAUUUGUAUUUGUUUACACUGGUGGAUGGCUGUUCUGGAAGAUCCCAUUUCCGAAAAAACCAUUUCCAGACAUAAACACUUGGAAUGUCAUUUNNNNNNNNNNNNNNNNNNNNNNNNNAAUCCAAGUCCCAAAAAAGGGCCAGAGUUGGGGGGGGUAUUUUUCCGUGAUCCGACCGCCCUGAUUUAUAUAAGGUUCUUUUGACAUUAGAUGGAAGCAACCCAGUCAAGUGAUUCAAGAUGGACCAAGUAUCGCCUAUUCUCCUGCCCUUUUUUUUUGUCAAUCUUAUCAAUAAAAGAGUGAGGACUAAAAUAUAAUCUUGUACUCGAGUUCUGUUGUCAUGUAACUCGUUAUAUGGUGUGAUCUGUCACAUGCUACACUUUCUGCAAUGAAUGGCAGAGUUCGGGAGUUUGAAUCCCUUAAUGUGUAAUCAGUAGCAUCUAUGUGCAACUUUGAUGGUUUUUGUCACAUCCAAGUAGUGAACACAUUCAUCAUUGGGACCUUGAUUUGUAUUUGUUUACACUGGUGGAUGGCUGUUCUGGAAGAUCCCAUUUCCGAAAACCAUUUCCAGACAUAAACACUUGGAAUGUCAAUUUCUCAAUAUAUCUCUGAAAGCAUUGGAGCUAUAU